rnacentral:rRNA from 1 species
UACGGGGGAGCAAGCGUUGUUCGGAUUUACUGGGCGUAAAGGCGCGUAGGCGGCCACUGCAAGUCAGUUGUGAAAUCUCCGGCUUAACCCGGAAAGGUCAACUGAUACUGCAGGGCUAGAGUGCAGAAGGGCAACUGGAAUUCUCGGUGUAGCGGUGAAAUGCGUAGAGAUCAUGAGGAAGACCAGUGGCGAAGGCGGGUCUCUGGACAGUUCCUGACACUGAGGCACGAAGGCCAGGGAGCAAACGGG